rnacentral:rRNA from 1 species
GAUGAACGCUGGCGGCGUGCCUAAUACAUGCAAGUCGAGCGAACGGACGAGAAGCUUGCUUCUCUGAUGUUAGCGGCGGACGGGUGAGUAACACGUGGAUAACCUACCUAUAAGACUGGGAUAACUUCGGGAAACCGGAGCUAAUACCGGAUAAUAUUUUGAACCGCAUGGUUCAAAAGUGAAAGACGGUCUUGCUGUCACUUAUAGAUGGAUCCGCGCUGCAUUAGCUAGUUGGUAAGGUAACGGCUUACCAAGGCAACGAUGCAUAGCCGACCUGAGAGGGUGGUCGGCCAGACUGGAACUGAGACACGGUCCAGACUCCUACGGGAGGCAGCAGUAGGGAAUCUUCCGCAAUGGGCGAGAGCCUGACAGAGCAACGCCGCGUGAGUGAUGAAGGUCUUCGGAUCGUAAAACUCUGUUAUUAGGGAAGAACAUAUGUGUAAGUAACUGUGCACAUCUUGACGGUACCUAAUCAGAAAGCCACGGCUAACUACGUG